CUAUUCAGGACAAACGGGGGGUCUAUCUCGGUAGCCCUCUGCCUGCAUCCGUGUUUUUUGCGUACUUUAUGUUUCCUCGGUAGGCUUGCCUGCCGGUUGGACACCUUAAACUCUUUUGCAAUUGCAGUCAGCGUCUGAAAACAAUAAUAAUUA
rnacentral:misc_RNA from 1 species